GACGAACGCUGGCGGCGUGCCUAAUACAUGCAAGUAGAACGCAGUUGCGAACGGGUGAGUAACGCGUAGGUAACUGCCUCAUAGCGGGGGAUAACUAUUGGAAACGAUAGCUAAUACCGCAUACUGUGAGAUGCACCUGCGUUGUAUUAGCUAGUUGGUGAGGUAAAGGCUCACCACGGGGACGAUACAUUCCCUAACUGAGCGGGUGAUCGACCAAACGGGGGCUGAGACAAGGCCCAGACUCCUACUGGAUGCAGCAGAAGGGAAUCAUCGGCAAUGGACGGAAAUAUGACCGAGAAACGCCGGGUGAGUGAAGAAGGUCUUCGGAUCGUAAAACUCUGUUGUUAGAGGAGCGUGAACUAAACAGAAAGGAACGGCUAACUACGUGACAGCAGCCGCGGUAAUUC
rnacentral:rRNA from 1 species